UACGUAGGGUGCAGGCGUUAAUCGGAAUUACUGGGCGUAAAGCGUGCGCAGGCGGUUUGCUAAGAGAGAUGUGAAAUCCCCCGGGCUUAACCUGGGAACUGCGUUUCUAACUGGCAGGCUUGAGUGUGGCAGAGGGGGGGUGGAAUUCCACGUGUAGCAGUGAAAUGCGUAGAGAUGUGGAGGAACACCGAUGGCGAAGGCAGCCCCCCUGGGCUAACACUGACGCUC
rnacentral:rRNA from 1 species